rnacentral:rRNA from 1 species
CAGGUCUUGACAUCGGAUGCAUAACCUAGAGAUAGGUGAAGCCCUUCGGGGCAUCCAGACAGGUGGUGCAUGGUUGUCGUCAGCUCGUGUCGUGAGAUGUUGGGUUAAGUCCCGCAACGAGCGCAACCCUUGUAUUCAGUUGCUACGCAAGAGAACUCUGGAUAGACUGCCGUUGACAAAACGGAGGAAGGUGGGGAUGACGUCAAAUCAUCAUGCCCCUUACGACCUGGGCCACACACGUACUACAAUGGCGCGCAACAGAGGGAAGCAAAACAGCGAUGUGGAGCAAACCCCUAAAACGCGUCCCAGUUCAGAUCGCAGGCUGCAACCCGCCUGCGUGAAGUCGGAAUUGCUAGUAAUCGCGGAUCAGCAUGCCGCGGUGAAUACGUUCCC